ACAAUGUCUUUCCAAAUAUGUAUAUUAUUUAUUAUUGUGUUCUAUUGUGUAGUCCACAAAACUAUCAAGUUAUAUCAUUAAUAAUAUUUUUCAAAAAACUGUAAACAAGUGUGAUAUGUAUUACUGCAAAUUAUCAUAAUAUUUUUAUGUGAAUCUGUAAAAUUGAUGUAUCUAUAAUUUUUGGAAAAUUAUAAUUUAUUACAAACUAAUUAAUAAUCAAUAUAUAAAAAUUUAAAUUUGCUUGCAUUUCUUAAUUCAUAAAUAUAUACAUAAGUUUUAUCAUAAGUUUUAAUUAAACCAAGUUUUUGUUGUUUUAACGAAAUUGUAAUUUUAGUUAAAAGCAAAUAAUUACUAUAUCUCUCCAUCUCUCUUUUUUCAAAAAAAAAAAAAUAAUAGUAUACCAACAAAUUUGCGGAGACCGGUUUUCUUUGCUUUGACAGCACUUGAACAAAUUUCCCAUCUCUCUUUUGUUGUCAUUCUUCUUUUUAAAGUGAGGUUCAUCUUGGUUUGAUUUCUAAUGGUAUGUGGCUGAGAAGCCAUGGAAGCAUGUGAGGCGUAGAACUUCAGAUCCGAUUUUAUCCUUCCAUGUGUUGAAGCCUAAAUUCCAGAUAUGUCUGAUUGACGGUUGAGUUAAUCCAUUUGUCUGGUUUCGUUUGGGUUAAAUGAUGUUGCUGCUGCUUUAUCCGACGUUUUCUGCUUUGCUGGUUUGUCAAGUUUACGAGCGAUGGCGGGAACUUCGUUUAUGUUGCCGCAGCUUCAUUAUUAGUUGCCGUGCUAACUUCCCUACAUGAUCAAGAAAGAAGCAUGUGAUGUAUUAAGAAAGACUGAGCAGAAUUUUGACAUUUCGUACGCAGUAAAUAGUUGCCUAAUUAAGAGGUUACGUGACUUCAAGUACUAGUUCUCUAUGCGUGAUUUCAAACUAUGUUCCAAUAUAGAGAUAGUAUAGUAAGAGUUAAUACAGUGGUAACAUAGGUCACUGAAAAUUAAAUUACAAAAAGUACGCAAGCUCUGUUUGUGUAAUAAAUAAUAUUAAAAGAUUAAGUGACUUCAAGUA